rnacentral:rRNA from 1 species
UACGUAGGGUGCAGGCGUUGUCCGGAAUUAUUGGGCGUAAAGAGCUCGUAGGCGGUUUGUCGCGUCGGCUGUGAAAACCUGGGGCUUAACUCCGGGCCUGCAGCCGAUACGGGCAGACUAGAGUUCGGCAGGGGAGACUGGAAUUCCUGGUGUAGCGGUGAAAUGCGCAGAUAUCAGGAGGAACACCGGUGGCGAAGGCGGGUCUCUGGGCCGAUACUGACGCUGAGGAGCGAAAGCGUGGGGAGCGAACAGG